UGCCCAAGAGAUCGGGAUAACACCUGAAACAGAUGCUAAUACCGGAUAACAACAGAUGAUGCCUAUCAACUGUUUAAAAGAUGGUUCUGCUAUCACUCUUGGAUGGACCUGCGGUGCAUUAGCUAGUUGGUAGGGUAGCGGCCUACCAAGGCGAUGAUGCAUAGCCGAGUUGAGAGACUGAUCGGCCACAUUGGGACUGAGACACGGCCCAAACUCCUACGGGAGGCAGCAGCU
rnacentral:rRNA from 1 species